UUGGUGAGGUAAUGGCUCACCAAGGCGACGACGGUUAGCCGGCCUGAGAGGGCGACCGGCCACACUGGGACUGAGACACGGCCCAGACUCCUACGGGAGGCAGCAGUGGGGAAUAUUGCACAAUGGGCGAAAGCCUGAUGCAGCGACGCCGCGUGAGGGAUGACGGCCUUCGGGUUGUAAACCUCUUUCAGCAGGGAAGAAGCGAAAGUGACGGUACCUGCAGAAGAAGCGCCGGCUAACUACGUGCCAGCAGCCGCGGUAAUACGUAGGGCGCAAGCGUUGUCCGGAAUUAUUGGGCGUAAAGAGCUCGUAGGCGGCUUGUCACGUCGGGUGUGAAAGCCCGGGGCUUAACCCCGGGUCUGCAUUCGAUACGGGCUAGCUAGAGUGUGGUAGGGGAGAUCGGAAUUCCUGGUGUAGCGGUGAAAUGCGCAGAUAUCAGGAGGAACACCGGUGGCGAAGGCGGAUCUCUGGGCCAUUACUGACGCUGAGGAGCGAAAGCGUGGGGAGCGAACAGGAUUAGAUACCCUGGUAGUCCACGCCGUAAACGGUGGGAACUAGGUGUUGGCGACAUUCCACGUCGUCGGUGCCGCAGCUAACGCAUUAAGUUCCCCGCCUGGGGAGUACGG
rnacentral:rRNA from 1 species